rnacentral:rRNA from 1 species
AUGAUGGAUGACAUGUUCUUAUACCAUGCAUCAAAUUUCUUUGAGCGAUGCUUAUCUUGUGCUAACACUCACUUGCACAUACACAUCAUGAUGGAUGAUGUGUACAUUUACCACGCGCACAAUUUCUUUGGUUUGUGUCUCUUUUGUGUAGGUACCCAUGAAUACUUGUCAACCUCGCAAUCCCACGAGUUGACAAAACGAGCUCUAGAGAGCAAUGAUGACUUGGGAUCCCAUGGAUUGCCUUUCCCACCGCUCACUUCGCGCAAACACUUCACGCAUUUCUUUUAUAUGGCCCUCACAUGGUUAUGGGUUGUUGUCCAUUAUAUAUCCUUUGCCCAUCUUGCCAUGUUCACUUUGCAUGAUAUGCCCAUUACUAUGCCUUUGCCAUGCAUUUGUGACCCAUGCUUUGCAUUACACAUGAUGAUUGAUUCUAGUACUUGUAUGUGUAUUUGCAAGCGUGGUGGAGAUAUUGUUUGUUAUUGCCAUGAUUGCUUUGUGCCCCAUGCCUAUGAUGAUACUAUGAUCUUGAUUUGUAUUCGUGCUUGCGAUAUGUCAUGUACAUUGCCUAUGCCUAUUCUUUACUCACAUGGCAUGAUUGCCAUGAUUCCCUCUAGUGUGUUGCAUCUUCGCUCCACUAGUUUGCACGACUUGAUUACUAUUGCUUGCCUUGUUGCAUCACCAAUGAUUGAUACUUGCUCAUUUCAUUCGGUUGAUGACAACCACCUACAUGCUUUGCACAUGAUUGUUAUUGCUUCUUGUCAUAUCUCUCCAUAUAUUGCCUCUAUCAUGAUAGAUGAUUUGACAUGUAUUGAGUGCAACAAUGCCCUUAGUCUUGAUAAUGAGUUUGCCCCCAUAGCAUUCUCACAUAUAUUUGGAGAUUUUGAUAUAUUUCUUGUGAAGCAUGCUUGCCUUACCUCUUUGCACCAUAUUCCUCGUGCCAUGAAUAUAGCCAUUAUUGCAUCAUAUUAUUCAUGCACUUGUGUUUCUAAUGGCUAUGUGCAAGAGAAGAAAACCAUCAUGAUGGAUGAUGUGUUUAUCUACCAUGCGCAUACGUUCUUUGUUUUGUUGUAUGCAUGUGUAGGAUACUUGGACUUUGUGUCGACUUCCGCUUCACGUGAGUUGACCAUUCGAGCUCUUGAGAGCGAGCCUCAUACAUUCGACCACGACUCGUUUCUACGCCACCUUUCCUACCACUUCGGCAUUGUGAAGAAUGCACAAGGACACACCAUCACGGUGAUAUCUUUCUUGAGCAUGGAUAUUGCGGAUCAUACUACUUGUGUUGCUUGCACCAUGAGACUUAUUGUUCAUCUUGGACCACUUGAUUGCACACUUGAUAGAGAUCUUGCUUCGACUUGUCAUUUUCACCGUCCCAUGCAUCAUGAUAUAUAUGCCUUGUGUGUUGCAUCCAAUUCUUGGAUUACUUGCUCCUCUCAUAUGUUUGGUUGCAACAAUGUCAUCCCUUCACAUAUGCCAUGUCCCAUUGCUUGUCACAUGAUUGACUUGAUUGCCUCACACAUGAAGAACAAUUGCUCUUUUUAUUGUGUUGAGUGCCACACUAUGUUCACUACACCCAAUGCACAUUAUGCUUGGAUUGUCCUGCACUUAACCCAUGUGUUUAGACAUCUCAUCUUCUUAGGUGUCGUGAAUGAUUCCUAUGCCUACCAUAGACCUUUCAUUGAGCGCUUUGCCCAUGCUUGCUAUGAACCUGAGGUAGAUGCUUAUUCUCUUGACACACAUAUUUGCAUCUCUACCUUCAAUUUACAUGCUUGCCCCCAUGAUAUCUUUGCUUGUGCUCGAUUGAUAUACUUACAUGCCAUGUCUCAAUCCUUUGUCACACCAUAUGCUUUGCAUGAUGACGACACUUGUUUGGUGAAUCACCUCUUGAAUGCUUGGUUUUGCACUAACGCUAACCACAUUUGUUUUUCCAAGUGUUUGUUGUCCUUACUCCUUUUGAAGGAAUCACAAAACGGUGCGACAUUGGAGAGUUCCCAUUUCGAGCUUCAAGAUGACACGUACUUGGUGAACGUCCACUUCUACACGGCGAAGCCAUCUCUAUUCCAUGGUGAUUUGGUUUUCGAUCCGAGGUCGGAUCUUUCCCAAGGGAGGGGAGAUGAUGCGGAGCAUCCUAUGGACAUCACCAUAUCAAGAGUCUAUUCGGCGAGUGACACGUGCGACAUCUACUUCACAUACGCAAAGGUGAAUCAUCUCCUUUACACGUGCUCACUUGACCCCUUCGAGGAUGGUAUACUACUUGACACUCCACUCGUGUGCAUGCAUAGGUAUUGUCGGAACACUACGGACGACGAGGAGGAGUGCAAGCGCCAAGGUACAACUACACCAUCCGCGAGGGAGGCCUGGAAGCGACGACGGAAGAAGACGGAGCUGCUGAAGCUACAGCGGCCGGACAUCCGGGCCAAAGGCCGGACAUCCGGCGCCUGUGCAGCCGCCAAGGAGCUGCACCAACACACGGCCAACAGCAUCAGCGGCCGGACAUCUGGCGCCAGCCCCGGACAUCCGGCGCCUCGCCAAAGCCCGGACAUCCUGCCCUUCCCCCGGAAAUCCGGCAUCGACGAUAGAAGACAUCCAAAAGUUUUACCCCCAGCCCGGACAUCCGGCCCCCAGCCCGGACAUCCGGCCCCUCCUGAAGCCCCGGACAUCCGGCCCGUCGCCCGGACAUCUGGCCACCCCUGUCUGCGCACAGUAAGGGCCGAGGCCCGUGUACCCUUCGACCCCCUAGACUAUAUAUACUCUUUCUCCUCCAUCUUUCUAGGGUUAGCAAAGGAUUAG